rnacentral:rRNA from 2 species
ACGACUCUCGGCAACGGAUAUCUCGGCUCUCGCAUCGAUGAAGAACGUAGCGAAAUGCGAUACUUGGUGUGAAUUGCAGAAUCCCGUGAACCAUCGAGUCUUUGAACGCAAGUUGCGCCCGAGGCCACCCGGCCGAGGGCACGCCUGCCUGGGCGUCACGCACCGUGCC